rnacentral:rRNA from 1 species
UACGUAGGGUGCGAGCGUUAAUCGGAAUUACUGGGCGUAAAGCGUGCGCAGGCGGUAAGGUAAGACAGAUGUGAAAUCCCCGGGCUUAACCUGGGACCUGCAUUUGUGACUGCAUUGCUGGAGUGCGGCAGAGGGGGAUGGAAUUCCGCGUGUAGCAGUGAAAUGCGUAGAUAUGCGGAGGAACACCGAUGGCGAAGGCAAUCCCCUGGGCCUGCACUGACGCUCAUGCACGAAAGCGUGGGGAGCAAACAGG